rnacentral:lncRNA from 1 species
AAGACUCUGUUAGGAGAAUAAAAAAACAAGCCUUAGACUGGGAGAAAAUAUCUGCAAAUUAUAUGUUUGGUAAAAUACUUAUAUCCAGAAUAUAUAAAUAACUCUAUACUUGGCUUAAAGAAACUGGAAAGCUGAAGAAGAGGGUAUAAAAACAGAGUAUGAUUCAACAGAAGAAAACAAACAACAAGUAAUAUAUAUGUGCUUGUUUCUUCCUGUGAAAACAACAACACA